GUGAUUAUUUGAAUCUUUCAGACUAAGACGCUGAUGGGAGAGGUGAUGAGAGAAGCCGCCUUUUCAUUAGCUGAGGCCAAAUUUGCUGCUGGUGACUUCAGUACUACAGUCAUUCAGAAUGUGAACAAGGCCCAGGUG